rnacentral:rRNA from 1 species
UACGUAGGGUGCAAGCGUUGUUCGGAUUCAUUGGGCGUAAAGGGUGCGUAGGCGGCGCGGUAAGUCGGGUGUGAAAUCUCGGGGCUUAACUCCGAAACUGCAUUCGAUACUGCCGUGCUUGAGGACUGGAGAGGAGACUGGAAUUUACGGUGUAGCGGUGAAAUGCGUAGAUAACGUAAGGAAGACCAGUGGCGAAGGCGGGUCUCUGGACAGUUCCUGACGCUGAGGCACGAAGGCCAGGGGAGCAAACGGG